UACGUAGGGGGCAAGCGUUGUCCGGAUUUAUUGGGCGUAAAGAGCGUGUAGGCGGCCAUACAGGUCAGCUGUGAAAACUCGAGGCUCAACCUCGAGACGUCGGUUGAAACCGUAUGGCUAGAGUCCGGAAGAGGAGAGUGGAAUUCCUGGUGUAGCGGUGAAAUGCGCAGAUAUCGGGAAGAACACCCGUGGCUAAGGCGGCUCUCUAGUACGGUACUGACGCUGAGACGCGAAAGCGUGGGGAGCGAACAGG
rnacentral:rRNA from 1 species